UGUGGUAGGCAGUAUGCGGUUUCGAACACAGCCACAGAAACACAGACAGGACAAACACGAAUCAUGACAGAUUUGUUCUGAAGAACACACCACAAAAUGAGUAAGUGGACUGAUCAAUGCUAACGACGGGAGUGACGAUACGAUCAGCUCAUGAGAAAAGACAAGACACAGUAUUGGAUUCACGAAACAAGACAAUAUUUCAACUUUACUUUCAAGAAAACUAAAAUGACAAUAUAUCAUGAGACAAACCAACUUUUUUUUUUUUCAUUUAACAGUUCCAAAACAAUCCUGGUGCAUUUUUAAAUGUUUUAGAAUUUGCAUCCAUGCAUGACCUUAGCUUGAGCAUGAACUUCUUUCUGUAACUAAAAUGAAAUAUUGCUUUUAUGAAGUGCAAACAUAUGUACCAAUAUGUAACCAUUAGGGGUGGUCUGUCAAAACAGUGCUCGUGCUCAUGUUAGCCCUGGUGUUCAGUACUAUCUUCUGACAGUGCUUACAAAUUUCUGUGUGUUGCCUGUCUCUCGUUUGUCUUUCAUUAUUUCCACUGGGUGCCCAAAAUGCUGCUACAGAACAAUUUAAAAGUGGCAGAGACAUCUUCAAUGCUAAUGUUUUCAGAACCCGACGUCAUUCUGACUUUGGUCAGUGGGCAGCAAAGUGUCUGCUGCCUCUAGCCGCCACUAGCCGCCACUGCUAGCCAUGGCUGCGAGCCCCAUUGCUUUCCUUCUACCUCUUCUUGUCAGUUUCUGGCAGACUACAUUUAGCAAUGGCGCAUUACUGCCCCCCAGGUCACAAACAGAGGUUUAAAUAGCUCACAGUCUGAUAGGCUUUUUCGCUGUGGACAGCUCUUCACUUGAAUCAGAAAUAUUGUCACGAUUUAAUCCCGCACCCCUAAUGCUUACCCCUUCCUACUUUAUUAUUUCCAAUGAAACAGAACAGUGCUUUCCAUACCUGCUUCUCCAGCACUACUGUCAUGCAUGUUUCGAUGUGUCCAAGCUCCAGCACACCUCUUUCAAAUAAAUGGCUGUUCGUCAGGUCUCCCAGUUCACAUGGUCCUGGAACUUGGUAGUUGUAGGGUUAACAAACCAUCUUUGUCAGCUGUCCAUGCCAAUGUCUCCCAUGCUUGAUACUUAUAGCGCAUCUAUGUUUGCAUGUGGGUGGCUUUAUGAUAAAAACAACCAGUGCCAACUUAUGGCCUUGUCAUGCCCGCUCCUCGACCACUGGAUUUCUGUGCUGUCUUUCCCCCUCCCCUUCUGUUUGCAGGCAGGCGUGCUGUGGGUGGGCGGUGUAAUCACUUCAUUGGAGUCACCUGUUCGGAGAGUGGCCUGAUCUGUUCCAUCUGCGCCUCUCUAUUUAAGCUGGCUGUUGUCCACUCUUCGAUGCCAGACCGUAAAACUUUUUCAUCCACACCACCUCCUUUCUCAUCUCGCCUGCCUUCACCUCGCCUGCUCACACCUCCACGUCUCUGGAAAACCCCCCUUGGGACUACUCCACCUCGUCGGCGCUCUCGGCACCAGCUCUGCCCGCCGUGCAGCUCUAGCUGGCUCACCUCCGCUGCCUGCCGUCAGGCUCAAACCCGGAACUUGGUUCCCCCCAGACUCGGCCUUCAGACUCGGCCUUCGGACCCACAUCCCAGACUUGAUUAAUUAAUCAUAUAUUCAAUAAACCUGUUUUACCUUC